rnacentral:rRNA from 1 species
AUAUACAGCCAUACCACCCCGAACACGCCUGAUCUUGUCUGAUCUUAGAAGCUAAGCAGGGUCAGGCCUGGUUAGUAUUUGGAUGGGAGACCGCCUGGGAAUACCAGGUGCUGUAAACU